ACACACAACAUAAUGAUCAGAGGACUUUGUCAAGAAGGGUUAUUUGACGAAGCAAAGAUGUUACUUUCUAAAAUGGAAUCUAGUGGUUGUUUGCCUGACGAUGUGACUUACAACACGAUCAUCCGUGGAAGCCUCUUGAAUAAAAGAUACGAAGAAGCAGUUGUACUGAUUGAGAACAUGAGAGCUCACAAUUUCUCAGCGGAUGCAUCUACCACAUCCAUGGUAGUAGACCUAUUACCUAAAGAAGAACAGGAAGAAGAGGAAGAACAGGAAGUAAUGGGAUAGCGCCAGAUUGUUAUAGCUUUAACAUUCUGAUAAAUGGCUAUUGUAAGAGGCAGGAACUAGAAAAAGCCAUCAAUCUCCUCAGACAAAUGCAUGUUGAAGGUAUAAAAGCCAAUGUUCAAACCUACAGCACCAUCAUACAUGGUCUCUUUCAGAUGGGUAGACAUAAUGAUGUGCACAACCUUUGCCAUGAAAUGCUAAAGAAAGGUAUUAAACCAAAUAUUGUAACUUGUCGAAUUCUGUUGGAUGGCCUUUGCACGAAUCGACACAUGGAUGAAGCAAUUUCCUUCUUUCGAAUGAUGGAAUGUGAAGGUAUAGUUCAUGAUAUUCAAGUACAUAGUAUCCUCAUGGAUGGUCUCUGCAAGAACAGAAAACUUGACGAGGCCAGAAAUAUUUUUGAUAAGCUUGCUUCGAGAGGUUUGCAACCCGAUGUCAUAACACACAACAUAAUGAUCAGAGGACUUUGUCAAGAAGGGUUAUUUGACGAAGCAAAGAUGUUACUUUCUAAAAUGGAAUCUAGUGGUUGUUUGCCUGACGAUGUGACUUACAACACGAUCAUCCGUGGAAGCCUCUUGAAUAAAAGAUACGAAGAAGCAGUUGUACUGAUUGAGAACAUGAGAGCUCACAAUUUCUCAGCGGAUGCAUCUACCACAUCCAUGGUAGCAGACCUAUUACCUAAAGAAGAACAGGAAGAAGAGGAAGAACAGGACCCCGCCGUUCUUGCUUUCUGCAAAUGGUUUUUGCAACAGGUACUGAAAUUUAUGGUUCAUUGUUAU
rnacentral:lncRNA from 1 species